rnacentral:rRNA from 1 species
AUUGAACGCUGGCGGCAGGCCUAACACAUGCAAGUCGAGCGGAUGAAGGGAGCUUGCUCCUGGAUUCAGCGUCGGACGGGUGAGUAAUGCCUAGGAAUCUGCCUGGUAGUGGGGGAUAACGUCUGUUAACGGGCGCUAAUACCGCAUACGUCCUGAGGGAGAAAGUGGGGGAUCUUCGGACCUCACGCUAUCAGAUGAGCCUAGGUCGGAUUAGCUAGUUGGUGGGGUAAAGGCCUACCACGGCGACGAUCCGUAACUGGUCUGAGAGGAUGAUCAGUCACACUGGAACUGAGACACGGUCCAGACUCCUACGGGAGGCAGCAGUGGGGAAUAUUGGACAAUGGGCGAAAGCCUGAUCCAGCCAUGCCGCGUGUGUGAAGAAGGUCUUCGGAUUGUAAAGCACUUUAAGUUGGGAGGAAGGGCAGUAAGUUAAUACCUUGCUGUUUUGACGUUACCAACAGAAUAAGCACCGGCUAACUUCGUG